GGGUCCAAAUAACUGCGAACACCCCCUCAGUGCCGUCUAAAGGCUGGAAUCUGUUUGCGCAGAUAUUUCAACAGUGCCAGCUAGGGAAAAAAGGGGGGGACAGUUGGAAAAAUUGAAAAAAGGAGAUGAAAUCUUUCACUGGAGGAGCAUGGUGAGUCUUCGGAGAAGCGCGUGUGGUGACUAAUCACGGAAGAUGAUUCCCAUCUAUUAGGAAGCAUCAGAGGGGAAGCAGUUCUGGAAUGUUCCGUCAUAUAACCGGGAAGCCGUCGAGUUACUGAGCACCUACAUGAGACAAGUAGCAUUGGGGCGAUGCAAAUAUGCAUCCUUCUAAGAUCAGGGCAGAGGGUAGGCCAGCGGCAGCGGAGAGCCAUGAGCAUCCUUCGACAGGCACCCCCCGCGAGUGACUCGUCGGUGCGCUGUGCCAACGUACCGUCAGGGAAACCAAGGUGGUGCGGACAGCCAGAGAGAAGUUCCCACGUGAACCACUAGAUCUAUCUCCACGAAUGCUGGAAAAAAAUGGGAUGAGACAAUGGGCAUCAAUAAA